GUUAGUUUUUGUUCUUGAAUUGGAAAUGACUUACAGAUCCUCCACAGAGCACCACGCCUGACCUGAGUUUUAUUAUUCUUGUGAUUCUGACAGAAUUAAUUUUCUGUUUUCUAGCUGCUAAUGAAUCCCAGACGACGAUCCUGACAUUCAGACCUCGAUUGUUGCUGCUAGCCGGAUGUGUUCUAGACGGAUGUAGCAAAUUUUUUUAAAAAAAGGUGGUGAAAAGUCAGAAACGUGGCGGUGUGAACACUGGAGAUUGAAGCAGCCGGAGAUGAAACUGGGAGUUUGUAGAUAUGGAACCACUAGACUAGAGCGUUUUUACUUCCUGUUUUCCUGUAAAUACCCACUUCGAUGUUAUGGACGGAAGCAGGUGAGGACGCAGAAGAAGAAAAAAAUGAUGCUUUUCUUUGCCUUUUUCUGUUUUUAGUUUCUUCGCAUGUUUAACCACCUGUUCUGUAGAUCGGAGGCAAUACGCUGCAGGGUUCUAGGAAAAACCCCCAAGCUUUUUGUUUUCCUUUUUCUCCCAACACUGAGCUGUUAAAGUGAAAGCGUUUUCUGGAGAGAGUCACACGUUUAAUGUUCCUUUAUGCACAGCGUAGCUUCAUGACUGGACUCAUCUUUUACUGGAUCUUGUUUUGUCUGGCGGUGGAGGUUUGAUUUAAGGCCAGCUGAAGCCUUUUACAUGUGCAGGAUGAUCCACACCCUGUGAAUAAAGGUCAGGAGGCACAAACCAUAGAGCAGAAGAUAUAUAUACUGUAAGAACUUUCAUUAUUCCGAUGAUAUCUUACCGAUCGUUUUAGAGAAAGACAAAAAAAAGUCACUUAUUAAAGCUUAGCCGUCUUUCUACAGAAUAGAGAACAUAGUUAUAAGGAUUUCUAAAAAAGACAAGACAAUGUUUUUAUUGUGGUAUUAUUUGUAUUUCAAUUUUUGUACGUAUCAAGACUGUGAACGUGUGUGAGUGUGUGUCGGAGUGUGUAGCCGAGCAGGUGUGUGUGUGUGUGUGUGUGUGUGUGUGUGUGUGUGUGUGUGUGUGUGUGUGUGUGUGUGUGUGUGUGUGUGUGUGUGUGUGUGUGUGUGUGUGCAGGUGUGCGACAUGCAUGUGGGUGUAUGUGUCCACCUCGUCUGAAUCACUGGAAAAGACAACCUCAAACCUGGUAACACACAUCUGUGAUGUUGGGAAUUCUACAAUAAAUGUCCUCUCCUUGUACAGCAGCGACCCCAGCCCCGCUGUCCUUCUUCACACCUGAUUUACACCAAACACCUGUCCAAACACCUGUCCAAAAGGGACCAAAAACUGUCCAAAAC
ensembl:lncRNA